rnacentral:rRNA from 1 species
AGAGCGAACGCUGGCGGCAGGCCUAACACAUGCAAGUCGAGCGCCCGUAGCAAUACGGGAGCGGCAGACGGGAUAGUAACACGUGGGAACGCGCCCUUCGGUUCGGAAUAACUCAGGGAAACUUGAGCUAAUACCGAAUACGCCCUUACGGGGAAAGAUUUAUUGCCGAAGGAACGGCCCGCGUCCGAUUAGCUAGUUGGUGAGGUAAUGGCUCACCAAGGCUACGAUCGGUAGCUGGUCUGAGAGGAUGACCAGCAUCACUGGGACUGAGACACGGCCCAGACUCCUACGGGAGGCAGCAGUGGGGAAUAUUGGACAAUGGGCGCAAGCCUGAUCCAGCCAUGCCGCGUGGAUGAUGAAGGCCUUAGGGUUGUAAAGUCCUUUUAACGGGGAAGAUAAUGACGGUACCCGUAGAAUAAGCCCCGGCUAACGUUCGCGCCAGCAGCCGC